UCGGAACUUAUGAAUUUUCUUAUGCGGUAGGAUGUCUUCCGAAGGAACUAACACUGGUGCUCUCCUUUUAUGGGUGCUAGUCCCUGUUUUCUUGCUUACCUUCUCCACUGCAUAAGGAAAAUCAAAAUAAGAAAUACAACUUUCCAAAUAAAGUAAGGAAUUGAGCUAAGUUUACAUGAAGGAUACAACUUACUCGACCGUCCCUGGCUCUCGGAAACUAAGGGUUGGAAAACCGUACCGACGAAAUAAGGGUCGUAGCUUGCUUAAGUGUCUAUCCUCUUUGGGCACCCUCAACACCUUCUCUAUGUCAG
rnacentral:lncRNA from 1 species